rnacentral:rRNA from 1 species
UACGAAGGGUGCAAACGUUGCUCGGAAUUAUUGGGCGUAAAGCGCACGUAGGCGGCUUUGUAAGUCGGAUGUGAAAUCCCUCGGCUUAACCAAGGAAGUGCAUCCGAAACUACAGAGCUUGAGUACUUAAGAGGAUCGCGGAAUUCCCGGUGUAGAGGUGAAAUUCGUAGAUAUCGGGAGGAACACCAGUGGCGAAGGCGGCUCACUGGCUCGUAACUGACGCUCAGGCGCGACAGCGUGGGGAUCAAACAGG